GGAUUAGUAGUCUGGUCGUGCCACUGGUAUGUACUGGUCUUACUGAUUUCUCCUUCUUGAAGAACCGUAAUGUCAUUAAUUUGUUGUUGCGGGGAAUCUGGACUGUUACUUUGAAAAAAUUAGAGUGUUUAAAGCAGGCUAACGCUUGAAUACAUUAGCAUGGAAUAAUGAAAUAGGACGUUCGAUCCUAUUUUGUUGGUUUCUAGGAUUGACGUA
rnacentral:rRNA from 1 species